CGAUACAGCCAUUUGGGCUGGAAAGGGCACACAGGAAUGACACCUUUCUCUAGCAGGAACAAGAAGUUACAGAACAGAUAGAGGAACAGGCUUCAAAGGGAACUUUAUCAAACCAACUGAGCAGAAAUACAGAAGAUCAAAGAAAAUACAACAAUACUGUAUUAUCUGUACAUGACAUGGAACAAUACAGAGUAAGAAUACUUUGUCAAUGCUUUGCCACACUGUAGAAUGGCAGAAUAGCCUUGAUGAUUUCUAUUUAAAGACAGUCCACAGAUGAUGAAAGCUAAAGGAUGUUCCCACGCUUAGGCAAUUGAGAAAAUACAUGAGGCAAGAUAGAGAGGAGGGAGAGGCAGAAUCAAAGGAAGUCUUUAAAGUGCUUUUCCAUCUCUGUAAUUAACCAGAGUGCCAAGCGUUCAGCAAGAAAGGGUGCAUCUGACCUGUGAUCACCUCUGUGCCUCUCAGCAGCACAUGUAAGUAAAGAUUUCAGCGUCAGAAGCUGCCACUGUAAGGGAAUCCAAAUGUCACACAUC
rnacentral:lncRNA from 1 species